AAAACAUAAAAAAAAAUUAUAAAAUUGUGUGUGUGUAAAGAGAUAGAAUAGUCUCUUUUUUUAGGGAGAUCAGAAGAAAGGUUUUAGCAGUAGUAAUGCCUGGUGAUUAUAGGGAUCUUUAUUUUCUUUAGGCUUUUCUGCAUAUAUUAAAGGAAAACUGGAAGCAAGAAGAUCAGUAAGGAAAAGGCUCUAGUUAUAGCUGUUCAGGCUUUAAAAGCAAUAGUUAGGACAGUGGCAGUAAUUUAAGAAAGGCAAAAUACUAGAAGAACUAAUAACUUUCCACAAAAAUAACUAUGAACCACAAAGUAAAGCAUAGUUGCGAUGUAGUAAAAAACAGUGCU